rnacentral:rRNA from 1 species
AUUAUGAAAAGCAAAAAAUUAUGGCGGUAUUUUAAGCUUCUCAGAGGAAUUUGCUCUUUAAUGGAUAAAACGCCAAAAUCUUACUUAAAUUUGUUAGUUCAAUUUGUAUACCACUAUAAAAACAAUUUAUAACUUUAAUUGUUUAAAUUUAUUAAAUUAAAAUAUAUUAAGUCAAGGUGCAGUAAAAAUUUAAGAAUGAAGUGAAUUACAUUACUUUUUAGUGAAAAAAAAAAUUAUAAUAACACUUAGGAUUUGAAAGUAAAU